AUGGGUAAAGGUUUUCAAUUUGGAAUUGAAAUUCAGGCAGUUUCAAAAAGAGCCAAGGAGGAAGUAUAAUUGCCUCUCAAACGAAAAAUUGGGGAAACAAUCAAUUGCCACGUGUCGUGUCAGCCACAUGGAUAAGAAGAUGACAUGUGGCCUAAGAUUGUUUUGCUUUAUUAGAAGUAGUAGAUUGGUUUUGAAUUAAUUAUUGUCGCCAAUAGUGUUAUGUGUAAUGAGCAAUCUUUUUUGUUCCACUCCGAUGAUUCCGCCAUUGGUUGGGGUGUGACAAUUUUCUCAUCUUGAAUUUAAUCUGCCUGAAAAUCAAUUUUCUAGCCUGGAUUCCAACGAUCAGACUAAUUCCAAGGGCAUUCUGUAUCAAGACAGUGAUGACUUGCAAUAUAUACCUGGUGUGACCCCAAUAGAAGUAAGCAACCAUUUAUAUUCACUUCUUAGUUUAAUUGAAAUUAGUUUUCCGUGGGUCGUUGAUUUAUAUUCACUUCUUAGUUUAAUUGAAAUUAGUGAAUAUAAUGUUUCUACAAAUAUGAAGUCAAAGUUGCUAGAUACCUCAGCUAACAUCAACACCUGCAUCCUACAUUUACGUUAACCCAAACAUUGAAGUAGCAAUAUCUAUUAUUGUUAGGUAAAACUUCCUUCGCCUUUGUAUUUUACUUGAUUAAUAUUCUGUUUCUACAUUUACUAUCAUUACAAAACUGAACAACAUAUUCAUGGGGAAAGUAGCAGCUUUAUGACAAACAACAAAUAUAACAGAUCUAGCAACAUCCAUAGAUAAAGUGAAACAAAUAAUAACAGAUCUAGCAACAUCCAUAGAUAAAGUGAAACAAAUAAUAACUUAUUCUUAUCUUUUUCAUCCACUUACAUCUAUAGGUGUUGACAUGUAUAAGAUUCAAGCUUAUAAGCACUCAAAUGUGUUGUUAGUGAACAUUAGGUAUUCAAUUUUUGGCUAAAGCAAUUCAUGUUUUGAAUAAGUGAAUUCAACAAAAAAAGGUGGUAAAUCUUCCAUAACAAGGAACCUAUAUGUGGCUUUAUCUUUAGCAACUUACACUCCAUAGCGAAAAGAUCCAUGUGACUGAACAAAUGUGUACACCAAGCAACAAUUUAAAUUCUUUGCUUACUUUGUACAUGUUGUUUCUUGCAUAAUGAUAUACUGUUUGCUUAUAUGACAUUAGUCAAACUAACUUGGAGGAUAAUGUUUGUGCGUUUUUGUAUAAACAUUUGGCAUGUGCCAGAUCUCAUUGUUUUUUUUUUUCAUUCGUACUAGCUAAUUCAUCAAUUUAGCAAUUCAUUUAUCAAUUUGAUGCAGAUGUUAUAACUUUUGAAUGUGUGAUGAAUAGAUAUGGGAUAGAGACUCAACAGGGUAGAUUCUAAAGUUUACAAGUUACAUAUCAUUUGUCAUGUGAUUAUCUACAUCCUAUGGUUGAGGAGGCUAUAAUUCAUUGAUGUCUACUUUUCUUUUGCGUACAAAGGCAUGCAUUUUCUGUACUUAAUCUUAGCAUUGCUAUAAAUAAAGUUUUGGUUUGUACAUAUACAAAUUUACUGCCGCAUCAGACAGAACUUUGUGUUGGUAAUGUCAUAUGGUCGCCGCCGCAGCAUCGCGUGGCGGGUCAAACCACUAGUAUGUAAAUAAAAAAGCAUCUUAUAUCAUCGGAUUUGAGGUUAACUUUGCACCCCCUUUUUAUUUAUAAGCUUAUAUUUAAUUAUUUUAAUUAAAACAUAUCUUGAGUUUAAACCUAUAAAGAACUCGUAAUAUGUUAAAUAGUCUUCCACUUUUAACGGUUAUUAGACAGAGCAACUUUUAUAGAAAAACUGAUCUUACAAAUCAAGGUGUUGCAGUUCAAUCAUUCAUCAUCAUUCAACUAAUAACCUUUGUGUUAUCUAACUGAGAUAUAGGAUCACUGUUUUAGGCACUGGGGAAGACAUUGGGGUGCUUGUAGUCCUUAUAUAUAGUUGAACUUGUUUACGAAUUUUCUCGAUAUAAUGAGAUUGUGAACUUUUUUAGAUGAUACGAACAACUCAUUAACGUGUUCUUGGUUUGUACCAAAGAUCAACAUAUUAUCUACGUA
rnacentral:lncRNA from 1 species